GGCCAGGGAAGAGCGGCACGGACACGUUCCUGCUCGCUCCGUUGCACCGGAAUUUCGACGGCUGGGUUCGGCCGCUAAAUUGAUGGCGCUACCGGAAGAAAUUUCAGAAAAAAAGGGUGGCUUUUUUUCGUCGAUCUCUUUGUGAGAGUAUCAAAUCAGGCGGCGGUAAAUACGUAGAAGCAACUAGGCGUACUACGGCGUGUACCGGACAGCGUUGGCGUGCCGCUCUGCUAGCAGCGGAGAGCCAGAUGAGGAUGCCCGUGAUAUGAGAAAAGCUCUGUCCAGAGAUAUGGAGACGAAAUCAGUUGUACCUCACCCUGUGACACCGGAAGACAUUGAGUAACUGUAAGCUGUGAUGCUC